rnacentral:rRNA from 1 species
CCUACGGGAGGCAGCAGUAAGGAAUAUUGGUCAAUGGACGAAAGUCUGAACCAGCCAUGCCGCGUGAAGGAUUAAGGCCCUCUGGGUUGUAAACUUCUUUUAUCUGGGACGAAAAAAGGGUAUUCUUACUCACUUGACGGUACCAGAGGAAUAAGCACCGGCUAACUCCGUGCCAGCAGCCGCGGUAAUACGGAGGGUGCAAGCGUUAUCCGGAUUUACUGGGUUUAAAGGGUGCGUAGGUGGGCUUGUAAGUCAGUGGUGAAAUCUCCGGGCUUAACCCGGAAACUGCCAUUGAUACUAUAGGUCUUGAAUUAUCUGGAGGUAAGCGGAAUAUGUCAUGUAGCGGUGAAAUGCUUAGAUAUGACAUAGAACAUCAAUUGCGAAGGCAGCUUACUACGGAUACAUUGACACUGAGGCACGAAAGCGUGGGGAUCAAACAGGAUUAGAUACCCUGGUAGUCCACGCCCUAAACGAUGGAUACUCGACAUCAGCGAUACACUGUUGGUGUNUGAGACGAAGACAUAAGUAGUACCACCGUACGGGAAGGUAACGGAGUCGUCGAAGAAGUUAGUUAAACGUAACUUAAAUUAGUAAGUUAGUUACGGCGUGAGACGUUGCCGACGGACGACCGACCGAGGGGAGGGUUAGGGAG